rnacentral:tRNA from 1 species
ACUCUCAUUGAAAAAAUUGAGCUUCGGCCGGCCUUCUAAGCCGAUGGUCACAGGUUCGAAUCCUGUCGGGAUCGCCA